UCAGCUACUUCAAUAAAAUUAAAUGCCUUUUUUGAGACAAAUUCCCCUUAAUUUAAGUAAUCUUGUAGCACAAUGCAAACAGUAGUUAUGGUGGGGUUUUUUUCCCCUUGUCUCUCCUGCCAAAUUUAAUGCAUUAUGUACAGGAGUUCUUAAUUUAAGUCUCAAUCUCUUCCAGGUGUGUCCUGUCUUUGGAGUUCCUGCCAGCUCACACCUGCUCAAAGCUGAGGACAGGACGUUACUCUGAGUUGCUUCCAGUGCCUGGGAAGCCUCCACCAAACCACCAAUUCCUUCAGCUGAUAUUGAAGAAUUAAUUGAAGAAUUAAUUGAGGAACUAAUUGAAGAAUUAACUCCUGCACCCUGCAAAGCAAAAUUCAGGGUGGAGGGAUCUGCCCAGGGUUGGAUUUCUGCCUGCCAGACAAAGACCUGACAGCAUUUGUGGUGAAAUAAUCUGCUCUGUUUGCAGACUGGAGGAGAAAUCCUUUCUGUACAGCUGAGUUCCUUUGAGCCUGGUGACCUCCCCCAGCCAUGUGCCCACCUCCAGAAAGGGCAGAAGCUUGUUUUGGCAUGGUGCUGGAUUUCCCUGGACCAUGGAGGGGACUCUUCACAGAAGUUUGCCUUGGGCUCUGUGAGUAAAUCCUGUAACUUCAUCCCUUCAUCCCUUCAUCUCUCUUCCACCCACUAAGUGCUCUGUUAGGAAA